GCUUAAUAUUAACAUCUUAUUUAGUUAAAUUUUCUUAGUUAUAAAAACUUAGUAAUUAAAUUUAUUUUAUUGGGGCGAUAAAAGUAAAAUGACUACUAACUGCUUAAUAUUUUAUACAUUUAUAAAUGAAUUAGGAAAUAAAUGAUCCUAGUAUAAAGAUUAAAAGUUUAAGUU
rnacentral:rRNA from 1 species